UAGAUCUCUCCCUGACACUGAUUCUCAUCUUUGAAUAGAAGAACUAUCAGAAAUGCACGCAUCCAUCUCAGGACCUGGCGCAGGCAGGUCAGCCACACACUCGCUCGUCCCUGAUGCUCUCUCAAGGAUGGAGAAAACCAUUACUGAAAAGUUACUGUCUGGGAAUUCUCAGUUGUUUGGAUUCCUACCAAGCCACCAUCUCUGGUCACACUCACUGGUUCCCAUCAAGGAGUUGCCAGUGGGUGGCCUUGCUUCCUUCAUGCAGCUUUGCCCUCGGGAGAAAGUGGAGGAUUUUUACCAACUUGAGGAACAGCUGGUCCCAGCUACUGCUCACCCAGUGCAGGUCAAUCA
rnacentral:lncRNA from 1 species